GGGCAAUUAGAUGGCCAGGCACCAAGGAAAAUGAUUCCCUGGGCCAAUCCUCACCACAACCCUAGGAGGCCCUGGCAUCCUUGCUACUGUCUGCCUCUGUGAACAUGACUACUCUAGGUACCUCAUGUAAGUGGAAUCACACAAUAUUUGUCUUUUUAUGACCGACUCACACGUCCUCAAGGUUCAUCCGUGUUGGAGACUGUGUCAGAAUUUCCUAGAGUUAGAGUUUUGCAAGAUGGAAGGCGUUCUGAA
rnacentral:lncRNA from 10 species